GAUGAACGCUGGCGGCGUGCCUAAUACAUGCAAGUCGAGCGAAUGGAUUAAGAGCUUGCUCAUAUGAAGUUAGCGGCGGACGGGUGAGUAACACGUGGGUAACCUGCCCAUAAGACUGGGAUAACUCCGGGAAACCGGGGCUAAUACCGGAUAACAUUUUGAACCGCAUGGUUCGAAAGUGAAAGGCGGCUUCGGCUGUCACUUAUGGAUGGACCCGCGUCGCAUUAGCUAGUUGGUGGGGUAACGGCUCGCCAAGGCAACGAUGCGUAGCCGACCUGAGAGGGUGAUCGGCCACACUGGGACUGAGACACGGCCCAGACUCCUACGGGAGGCAGCAGUAGGGAAUCUUCCGCAAUGGACGAAAGUCUGACGGAGCAACGCCGCGUGAGUGAUGAAGGCUUUCGGGUCGUAAAACUCUGUUGUUAGGGAAGAACAAGUGCUAGUUGAAUAAGCUGGCACCUUGACGGUACCUAACCAGAAAGCCACGGCUAACUACGUGCCAGCCGCCGCGGUAA
rnacentral:rRNA from 1 species